rnacentral:rRNA from 1 species
UACGUAGGGUGCAAGCGUUACUCGGAAUUACUGGGCGUAAAGCGUACGCAGGCGGCUUUGCAAGACAGGUGUGAAAUCCCCGGGCCUAACCUGGGAACUGCAUUUGUGACUGCAUGGCUAGAGUCUGUCAGAGGGGGGUGGAAUUCCACGUGUAGCAGUGAAAUGCGUAGAGAUGUGGAAGAACACCGAUGGCGAAGGCAGCCCCCUGGGAUGAGACUGACGCUCAUGUACGAAAGCGUGGGGAGCAAACAGG